CACUGUCGGUCUGACAUUGGAGCUGUUCUGUCAACUGUGGAUUCUGCUGCCUGCAGUUUCCGAGUAGGCCUGGGGCUACAGCUAGGUGGCAGCAGGAUUGAGCUCAGCGGCUUUUCCGUUGAAGUGCAUGGCAGCUUCCAAGUUUUCCACUUUGCUCAACUCAGUGUUAUAGUUUUGAAGCAUUCUACCUGGCUCAGUCCUUUCUUGGAAGGUACAUUAGUGGUUACAUUGUUUGAAAAUGUUGGAAUCUUGCUGACAAAAUAAUAUAAACAUCAGUAACUAUUUGAGUGCCUGGAAAGUUCUCCGAAGAAGGGUAACUUUGAUGUCCUGAUUUGUCUAUAAUAUUCUUG
rnacentral:lncRNA from 1 species